GCUCAUUGUAUUCCAUCAAAUCGUAGAUAUCUACUACUUCUUAUUCUCCGAUCACUGUAGCUAAAAGAACACUAAUGGCGAAGCGACACGUGUUCAGUUUUGCUGAACUUUUUUUUUAAUUUUUUUUUUCUUUGGCCGUUGUAAUACUACGUCGUUUUUCAAUUGAGGUUUCUUUCUCAUCCUCUCUCAUCAACCCUAGAUCUUUCUUGCGUGUGUUAUAUCCCUCUACCUGCUCUGUCGUACAACCCAUAUCCUUCUGAUUUCGAUUUCCCUCUCUCACAACCUUACUUUCCUCCACAUCAAUCUCAAAUCCAGCUGUGUUUCCGUGUUAUCCUUCCCCUUUCCACCCACUUCUCACCAAUCCAUCAAAAUAGUCUCUUCCGAUUGAUAUGAUGAGCAAUUACUUUCGGCCGCCGCACGAUGUGUGUUUGAAGCUAAUGUCGCCGUCGAUUAUGGUAGAACCAAUUGUGUAUCGACAGCUCAGACGGUCCACUGUUCAUUUGUCAUCCUUCAUCACGAGAACCCCAACUGCUAUGGUUGAAUGCAUCUGCAAAGGUUGAAUCCUUUAGCAAAUGAUGAGCUUGAAACCAUGAUAGAGAAGCAUGGAAGAUCAGACCAAGGUUUAUUAGGAAGUGGGAGAUGGCACCUACUGCUAAACCUUCUAAAUUUGCAACUUGUCUUGAUUGAUGCUAAGGUAUUUUGCAAAUGCUAUGACUUCAGUUCAUGAAAUGGAAAAUGGUUUCAAUCUAAUGAGGACCUUGCCAGCGCAGGAGCAACAAAGAGGCAUACUUGCUGUGUUUUGGUGCUGACCAAGCCUGCAAAGGGUGAAAUGGAACAAGAGGAACAAGAAAAACUGGCAUUUUCAGAGUUUAAGAUCCUUUUCACUAGAAGAAGAUGCAGAUGUUGAGUAGUCUACUAAGCAACUAAGCUUAUCCACGUUGAAGAUUGUGCUAUAGACAUCAUCUCUCUUAAGUGUAUUUUGUAUUAAUCUAUUAUUAUGUCUAUUUGUAAGUCGUUUUGAUGUAUGAAUUGGUCUAUGUCACUGUGCUCCUAACACUAUCCAUAUAUCAGAUGGCUUUCAUGCUCCUUCAUCAUCAUCUUUGUGAUUUAUUACUCUUUUAGCUAUGGAUUAUGGUGAUAGAUAUGGGCUCCUGUUGUUAUAAGUUGUAAGUUAUGUUCUUCCUGCUGGUCUAAAUAGCUGGGUUUAGAAAUCUGCUCUCAAAUGUUGGGGUGUCAUAUGCAUGUUCAAUGUUUAAGAGGGGUGGGCUUCACUGCUUAUUCUUCUUUUGCAUUAUUUCUAAUUUUUCACUGUAUUUGAUUUUUUAUAGGCUACUUAGUUAAGCGAUUUUCUCCUUCAUUUCCCUCUUUUAUUCUUCUUCUAGGUUAUUUUUUUUUAGACUGUUAAAUAUGUUGUGAAGUAUGUUUCUUAUUCCAUAUUAAGAAGUUAGGUAUUUAUUCACCUAUUUCUUAUCAGUACCUAAUCUAAUAUGACUUUGGUUUAAGAUUUGCUGCCACUGUUAUUACUUUAUCUUUUAUUUCAACUUAGUAUGCCGUAAAAAAAGGUGAAUGAGUGAUACUCAUGUCUUUUAUGGCUGGACCUAUGAAUGGAUAUGGAGUUUCCUCAUUGUGGUAUGUUUUUCCUCUCUUUUAAUUUCGUUUUGGAUAGAGAGUUCUAUCAUGAGUUAUAUCUUAUGGAUUUUGUUUACAAAACUUUCUUCACUAAUUGAUUCUUGAUGUGGACCUUAUAGUUCUGUCAUCCUCUUCAGGCUAAGAUUGGUAGGGGAGAUUUUUGUUAUACUUUUGCCUAUACUCCUUAAUACCCAAUUCUAAUAUGACUUUGGUGGAUAGCUCCUUAUUGAAGAGGUUUAACUUUUACAUGUAAAUCCUUUUAAAAGAGUGGAUUCCUUAUAAGUGGUUAUGUUGUUUCAUACUGCAAAUUUUCUUAGGCUGAUCUAGGAAUGAAUUUUUUUACAUCUUCAAGUACUCAUUAAGAUCCUAACUAUUGUUUCCUGGUACUGGAUAGAGUGGUUGUCAAAUAUAAUUUAAUUUUUGUUUUGACUUUCACUCUUCCUAAGUUUAAUUUUGUGAUGACAGUCCUCUACUCAUGUUAUCAUGUGGCUAUAUAUUGACAUAUUAUUAGCAAGUUGCUGAACAUACACAGUACACACUCUUUUUAUAUGAUCAAUUAGUACAUUUCACCUCUUAACAGAGGAGAAGUGAAGGGGGUUUAUUGGAAACAAAAAUCUACAUAACUAAGUUUAACAUGGGCCUUCCCCUUCCAUCUGCCCCUCAUUUUUUAUCAUAAACAUGCAUAAAAGCAUCUCAUCCAUUCUAUAUAAACUAUUCAUCAGGUGGUUCACAAGGAGUUUGGUAUACUUGAAGGUUUGAUGACAACAGUCCAUGCAACUACAUGUCUCUUAUGAACUUUUGCUAAUUAUAUAGCCUUUGAUUUCUUUCUCUUUUGCAUUAAUAAACCAUAACAUUAUAUCCUAACAAAUGCCAUUAGUAACAUCUCAUUGUUUUUCUCUUUCACCAGCAACACUAAAGACUGUAGAUGGUCCUUCAAUGAAGGAUAGGCGAGGGAGAAGAGGGGCAACUUAAAAUAUAAUCCCAAGUUCUACUGGUGUUGCAAAGGUAGGAGAUGGAUGACCCCAAACAGAUUUUGUGAUUCUAUUUUAAGUAUAGAUUUGUGAAAUUUGUGCUUUGUGAAAUCACAAGCUGUUGGAAAAGUUCUUCCUGAGCUAAAUGAAAUUUACAGCAAGGUGGUGCAUAAAUGGAUGGACAUUAACUAUGUACAGAACCUUCUCUAAGCCUCAAUGCGCAAGAGGUUUUAGCUGAUGUGAGCAAGCAAUUGAAGCAACUGGGGAAUGGCAAAGAUUGAAACAUGUAGGCUACACAACAAAAAGGUGUAAAGAGGCAAUAUAGCCAAUAAAUAUCAAUCUCAACAACUCAAUGUUGUAUAUCAGUGUUUUGAUUGUGUAACUUGAUAGUUAAAAUUCUUUGUAUUCUGUCUUAUCCCACGAGUAUUUGGCAAUCUUAAAUAUGGGUCUCCUGCUUACAAUGUUUGACAUCACCAAUUCACAAAGUUUGAAUUAUUAAUUUAAUAAGGAAUGAUCCUGCUCGAUUUUGUUAAUAA